rnacentral:ncRNA from 1 species
UCUUAUCUAGAGAAACCGAGGGAUCAGGCCCUAUGACGUUUCGGCAACAGGUUCAUUUGAAUACUGUGCCAACUCCUGCAAGCGUAAUGCUUGAAAGAUGAGA